rnacentral:rRNA from 1 species
AUUGAACGCUGGCGGCAGGCUUAACACAUGCAAGUCGAGCGUGGUGAUGGUGCUUGCACUAUCACUUAGCGGCGGACGGGUGAGUAAUGCUUAGGAAUCUGCCUAUUAGUGGGGGACAACAUCUCGAAAGGGAUGCUAAUACCGCAUACGUCCUACGGGAGAAAGCAGGGGAUCUUCGGACCUUGCGCUAAUAGAUGAGCCUAAGUCGGAUUAGCGAGUUGGUGGGGUAAAGGCCUACCAAGGCGACGAUCUGUAGCGGGUCUGAGAGGAUGAUCCGCCACACUGGGACUGAGACACGGCCCAGACUCCUACGGGAGGCAGCAGUGGGGAAUAUUGGACAAUGGGCGGAAGCCUGAUCCAGCCAUGCCGCGUGUGUGAAGAAGGCCUUAUGGUUGUAAAGCACUUUAAGCGAGGAGGAGGCUACUUUAGUUAAUACCUAGAGAUAGUGGGCGUUACUCGCAGAAUAAGCACCGGCUAACUCUGUGCCAGCCGCCGCCGUAA